rnacentral:rRNA from 1 species
UGGGGAAUAUUGCACAAUGGGGGAAACCCUGAUGCAGCGACGCCGCGUGAGCGAAGAAGGUUUUCGAAUCGUAAAGCUCUGUCCUAUGGGAAGAUAAUGACGGUACCAUGGGAGGAAGCCCCGGCUAACUACGUGCCAGCAGCCGCGGUAAUACGUAGGGGGCAAGCGUUGUCCGGAAUCACUGGGCGUAAAGGGUUCGCAGGCGGAAAUGCAAGUCAGUUGUGAAAGGCAGAGGCUCAACCUCUGUAAGCAAUUGAAACUGUAUUUCUUGAGAUGUGGAGAGGCAAGUGGAAUUCCUAGUGUAGCGGUGAAAUGCGUAGAUAUUAGGAAGAAUACCGGUGGCGAAGGCGACUUGCUGGACACAAACUGACGCUGAGGAACGAAAGCGUGGGUAGCAAACAGG